CGUUCCCGGGUCUUGUACACACCGCCCGUCACACCAUGGGAGCGGGUUUUACCAGAAGUAGGUAGCUUAACCGCAAGGAGGGCGCUUACCACGGUAGGAUUCGUGACUGGGGUGAAGUCGUAACAAAGGUACC
rnacentral:rRNA from 1 species